GCGGGGGUAGCCAAGCCUGGUCUAAGGCGCAGCGCUGAGGCCGCUGUGGGGUAGCCUUCGUGGGUUCAAAUCCCACCCCCCGCA
rnacentral:tRNA from 1 species